rnacentral:rRNA from 1 species
AGUGAACGCUGGCGGUAGGCCUAACACAUGCAAGUCGAACGGCAGCACAGAGGAGCUUGCUCCUUGGGUGGCGAGUGGCGGACGGGUGAGGAAUACAUCGGAAUCUACUCUGUCGUGGGGGAUAACGUAGGGAAACUUACGCUAAUACCGCAUACGACCUACGGGUGAAAGCAGGGGACCUUCGGGCCUUGCGCGAUUGAAUGAGCCGAUGUGGGAUUAGCUAGUUGGCGGGGUAAAGGCCCACCAAGGCGACGAUGCGUAGCUGGUCUGGGAGGAUGAUCAGCGACACUGGAACUGGGACACGGUCCAGACUCCUACGGGAGGCAGCAGUGGGGAAUAUUGGACAAUGGGCGCAAGCCUGAUCCAGCCAUACCGCGUGGGUGAAGAAGGCCUUCGGGUUGUAAAGCCCUUUUGUUGGGAAAGAAAUCCAGCUGGCUAAUACCCGGUUGGGAUGACGGUACCCAAAGAAUAAGCACCGGCUAACUUCGUGCCAGCCGCCGCGGUAA